rnacentral:rRNA from 1 species
AUUGAACGCUGGCGGCAGGCUUAACACAUGCAAGUCGAACGAGUGGCGGACGGGUGAGUAAUGUUUGGGAAUCUAGCUUAUGGAGGGGGAUAACUACGGGAAACUGUAGCUAAUACCGCGUACUCUCGGAUGCGCCCAAGUGGGAUUGGGUAGUUGGUGGGGUAAAGGCGCACCAAGGCGACGCUCUCUAGCUGGUCUGAGAGGAUGACCAGCCACACUGGGACUGAGACACGGCCCAGACUCCUACGGGAGGCAGCAGUGGGGAAUAUUGCGCAAUGGGGGCAACCUGACGCAGCCAUGCCGCGUGAAUGAAGAAGGCCUUCGGGUUGUAAAGUACUUUCGGUGGAGAGGCGUUAACUACAGAAGAAGCACCGGCUAACUCCGUGCCAGCAGCCGCGGUAAUAC